CUAUAUCUAAAUAACGUCAUAUAACUUCUUCAUUAGCCUGUUUUUUUGAUAAACGCUGCAUUUAGCGUCAGCGUUUCCAAAUAUUUCUUUGUCAAAAAGACACGGACAGUGACGACGAGAAAAAAAAAGUCGACGUAACAGUAAAAGGAGUCGCCGUGGUGAGUCGUGAUUGACGCUAGAAUUUCAAGAGAUCAAAUAUCUUAGGAAAUUUGACGCUGCGUCUCGUUUAUUUAACACCGGCUUCGGUGGUCUCUGCAAUCAUGCUUUUAAAGCAACAAAAAUUACAGGGCUUUUGGAGACGUUGACACUAGACGCAGCGUUUAUCAAAAAAACAGGGCUUAUGUUAUCUUCAGUUAUACAUUUUGGCUUGGUUCUCUACGUGCAAAACAUCAUUGGGUUAGCUAAACAUCUAACCUUAGUCUAUUUGAAACUCAGAACUUAGUGUUAUUAGAUUCAAGAUAUGAAAUUCUCAAUGCACCAGUAAAAAUAGGAUUAAAAAAACCAGAUCAAGUAGAAAAUAUAGAAUUUCUAAAUGAAAAUUGUUGGCCGGGUCUCGACAAGUACAAAUACGAAUCUUACAUGUUGAGAUUUAUUCAUGCACACAAUCAAUAAACAACCAUACAAUGGAUAUUUUCAAUCAAUUUUUGGUAUCUACAAGUCUUUUUUUUUUUCUUCGAAUUUAUUUUGCAGAUUUUUUCAACAGAAAUUUGUGGAUUUUCUCAAUAGAGAGAAUAAUUUUUUUUUAACCUGCAUAAGCACAACAUUAGGAAUGUUUUUCCCGCACUCCUCCAUCGAAUCUUUCUCAAGAGGAGCAACCCCUCGGCCCCCGAUGCUCGAUUGACGCCUCAUGGCAUCAAGACGCCGUUCUCUUUGGCGGAGGUAUGGUCCUGACGGACGAGGAUGGGGUAACGGCUUUCGGUUCAUUUACUAGUAACCAAAGCUUAACCCCCCCCACCCCACAUGUCGAGCUUUAUACUCUGCUGUGGGCCAUGAAAUCUUCACUCCAACUGGACCAUCUAGAUAUGACAUUUGAGACGGACUGUCAACAAUAGGUCAAGAUUAUAAAAGACAAAAAAAGAAGACGACUGGCCAUCUUUAUCGGUCGAAUUUGAAGAGUUUUACCACCUUCACUCUAUGUUUAACUUUUGCUUUAUAUGUUUUAUCCUCCGUUCUUGUAACGUCCGAGCCGACAGCCUUGCAAAAGGUGUUCGCUCUUGCGGUUUAAUCUUUUCCAUGUAAACUCUAGAUUUUCUAACUGGAUGGAUCAUACCAACUACAGAGAAACCUCUUAAUAAAAUAUGGAGCUUUUGAUGUAAAAGAAAGUUAUCUAACACUACUAAAAGUCGAAUAUGAAGAGUAAAGAGAGUGUCCACGUCGACCAUUAAAAUCAACCAAUGAGGAUGCUUAGUUUUUCCACGUCAAACCGAAUGGGACCGGUCUUGGGCUGUAUUUUUCUUAACCCUGAAAAACAAAGAAACAUGUUGAUCAAAAGCCCUGGUCCGAUAAAGUCGGAUAACGUCGUGAAUCUUUGACGUCUCUCUUCUCUUCGCUCUUUGGAAACCCUAAAUGAAUCUCUUCGACAACUCCUCCCUUCGCCGUUUCCCCUUCCUCAACGGAUCAAUCAAUCGACACCGUAUUCAUUAAAUUGUUACAGAAAAAAAAACACUCAAACGAUGAAUUCCAGCAGAAAAUUCCAAAACGAUCUUACCGCGAAUAAACCAAACGGAAAAGACGUUGUCUCCUCAGAAGUCUCCGGCGAUCCUAAGUCGAAGAAACCAAACGGCAAAUCCGUUGACUCCUCCGCCGAGCCGCUAUGUUCAAUGAUAAAAAAGGAAGAGGUCGUCUCAACUGGAGAUCUUCCCACGCUCAUCUCAGACUCCAACGAGCAGGUAACUCAUGAUUUCACUAUACUUUAUUACUCAGAUCAAAAUAGAAACAACUAAUGGUAGUCACCUCCGCUACUGACUGCUGAAAAAAGAUCAAAGCUUUAUUUUAUUUUUUUCUCUUUUCUUCUUUGUAUGACUGCUAAAGAUUUUUCAUUCUGUGUAUUAACUGAUAGUUCAACCGAUUGCUUUAUAACUACGAUGUUAUCUUAUAUUUUCUUCUCUUCGUUUUUGUUCUCUGUUUCUUUUUGUGUGAAUCUAAUUGAUAAAAAUGUUCCUCUUGGACAUGUAAAUUGGUUUCUGACUGGUGCUUGAAGCCUUGAAGAUAUACCUCUGUAUAUUGACUUCUCUCUAUGAAAAAUUACUCUUCUAAAAGGAUGAGAGCAGUUUUCGGAAGCUCGAUGGAGAGCUGGAAGAUGCAGAGCAAAAGGUCCCGGAAAUACAUUGAUGACAAUGUUCAGAUAUAUAUGAAAUUCACUAAUUCAGUUCAUGGCUAUUGAAGAGAACGAUGAGAUCUUGAGAGGUCUAUGCGGAGAAGACGGUGUUGUUUAUGCGAUAUGUGAGUUGCAAGAGGAAUGUGAUUCUAGAGGCUCGUUGAUCUUGAAGAAGUAUAUGGAGUUUAGGAAGCGAGCUAGGUUGGCUUCUGAUAUCAACAACUCUCCAAAUUUGAAUCUGCUUGCUGGUGGUGCUUCUGAAGGACCAGACCCGAGAGAAGUAGAGCUCUAUGUGGAGGAGAUACUCUCUCUGAUGCAGUUAGGUGAGGAUUACACAGAGUUCAUGGUGUCAAAGAUCAAGUCUUUGCGUCAGUUGAUGCUGAGUUGUUACCAAAAGCUACGAAAGCGUUUAGAAAUGGUAGCUUUAGCAAAGUGAUUCAGGACGUGACGGGAUUCUAUGUGAUACUAGAAGGGUUCUUUAUGGUUGAGAAUGUGAGGAAAGCCAUAAGGAUUGAUGAGCAUGUACCGGACAGCCUUACCACAUCAAUGGUGGACGAUGUGUUCUACGUGUUGCAGAGCUGUCUGAGGAGAGCCAUUUCGACUUCGAACAUUAGCUCUGUGAUUGCUGUGCUGAGCAAUGCUGGUAGCUUGUUGGCUAAGGAUUACCAUGAAGCUUUGCAGCAGAAGAUUAGAGAGCCUAACCUUGGUGCUAGGCUGUUCUUAGGUGGUAUUGGUUGCAUCAAGACGAUGGUCGACUUAAAACCAAAUCUCGCUUACUAACAUUAUAGAAGAGAGCAUCUAUCAAGAUCACGAGUUCGAAUGCCAUAAAAAUAGUUACUUUUAAAUGCUUUCUUAUCUAAAACAUGAUGAGCUAAAAGCUCAUAGCUUCUUAAUUCCCUAAAAAAAGUUCUAACACAUUGCAUUACCAAUAAAUCAUCUUAAAUUUUUUUGUUAGUUGUACAAAUAAUUUUGUUCCUUUUAGUAAUUUGAAAACGUACUUGAAUUUUAUUCAUUUUAACUGAGCUGAUUAUAAACCUUCUCAAAAUUCAUUAUUUAUGGAUUUGGAAGUUCAUAAACAGGUAUACACAGUGGGUUUUAGCUCCAGAUAUACACAAAACAAGCAUCUAUACUCAAACUAUAUCAACAUUCAUUAUAUAGAUUAGGCGACAGAAAAACAUUCCUUAUAGAUUAUUAAAUUUUUUGAUAAAAAAAAAUAGAUUAUUAAAUUAUAAUAAGACGAGAAACUUAGUUGGUUACAAGUCCCAACAAUCAAUAAAAAGGAAUAAUAGAUGAUGAAAUUUCAAAUAUAUGGAAAAUAUAAUUAUAUUUUUUAUUUACAUGAAACUGGUUAACGGAUGGUAUUCAGAUAAAAAUCAUAUUUCCAUUGUAUCUUAAACCUUGGCAUAAAUAUAAAUUUCAAUCAUCUAAGAAGGCUCGACUAAAAAUAUAAUCCCUCUGAUCAAUCUAUUUGCCCCUCAUUUUUAGAGAAAAAAUAGAUGAAUACAUUGGAGAUAGUCUAAGACAUGAUCGACGUAAAUGAUCGACGUUGAAAUUUCAGCUUUUCUGAUUCUUACUAUUCUAAUGUUUCAAUAUAAUUUGAAUAUUUCUUUUACUUUAUAAUAUAAUGAUUUGAAAGUCUUUUUUGUUUCACUAUAUAAAUUGUUUUUAUAUUUCAAUGUAACUUUAUAAUUAUUGGAUAUUAUGUGGCCAAUUAAAUUAUGUAAAUUACUGUGUAAUUGAUUAAAUUAAUAUAUUAAAUGACAGUUUUCUAAAGUAAUAACUUUUAAAUAUUACAGAUUCUAAUUAAUUGAUUACAUUUUGAAACAAAUAGAGUAAUCUAUAAACUAAUUCUAUAUAGAUAUGAGGACAAAAUUGUAAAAUGUUAUCACUUUGAAUUUCUCUCAUUCUGUGCAUUCCUAAUUGGAAUGAGAUAAUCAACAUCUAAUAUUAUGUUACCCUCAGUAUAUUAGAAAUUGUCGAACCGUAAACCAAUUAAGGAUGAUGUAAGGAAGACGUAAAGAUGUAUUUCCAGUUAUCACAACUUAAUUAUGUCCAUACUUUCUAAUAUUAUAAUAUUUCACCAUAUUAGUGGCUAAAUAAGUUUUCUCUAGCACAAAUACUCACUCUAUUCUUGGAUUUUAAGUUUUUAUAUCUUAUGAUAUUAGUAGUUUGCUCCAAAAAAAGAAACGGUCGUACUGUACAUUGUAAUUGGAGAAAGAAAACAAAUAAAAAUCAACCGAAGACUUUUAAGGUAUAUGAAACAAAAAUUGGAAAUAGCAAUUCUUUGUAACUAAAGAAUAAGGCAAUAAAAUUGUAAAAAUACAAAAUAAAACAAAAAAAUAUACACAGAAAGAAAGAUUUAGUAAAAU